rnacentral:rRNA from 1 species
CCUACGGGUGGCAGCAGUGGGGAAUCUUGCGCAAUGGGCGGAAGCCUGACGCAGCGACGCCGCGUGCGGGACGAAGGCCUUCGGGUCGUAAACCGCUUUCAGCAGGGACGAGGCCCUCACGGCGACGGUACGUGCAGAAGACGCCCCGGCUAACUACGUGCCAGAAGCCGCGGGCAUAGGUAGGGGGCGAGCGUUAUCCGGAUUCAUUGGGGGUAAAGCGCGGGUGGGGGGGCUGGUAGGGCGGGGGUAAAAGACCGGGGCUCAACCCCGGUCCGCCCCCGAUACCGGCGGGCUUGAGUGUGGUAGGGGGAGGCGGAAUGCGCAGUGUAGCGGUGGAAUGCGCAGAUAUUGGGAAGAACACCGGCGGCGAAGGCGGCCUACUGGGCCGCAACUGACGCUGAGGCGCGAAAGCGAGGGGAGCGAACAGGAUUAGAUACCCUGGUAGUC